UACCAGCACCCCGAGUGGUCGGGACGUUUAUUGGGCCUAAAGCAUCCGUAGCCGGUUCUGCAAGUCUUCCGUUAAAUCCACCUGCUUAACAGAUGGGCCGCGGAAGAUACUAUAGAGCUAGGAGGCGGGAGAGGCAAGCGGUACUCAAUGGGUAGGGGUAAAAUCCGUUGAUCCAUUGAAGACCACCAGUGGCGAAGGCGGCUUGCCAGAACGCGCUCGACGGUGAGGGAUGAAAGCUGGGGAAGCAAACCGG
rnacentral:rRNA from 1 species